CCGGGCCCUCACCCAACGGUGGGCAGGGCUGGACCGGGCACCUUUACGUAAGGCGGAGGCGGGGACAGCGCCGUGGUGGUGGGGGUAGAGCUAUGUCGUGGUACCGCAACACGGUGUGGUUCGUGAAGGGGCUGCGGGAGUACACGAGGAGUGGCUACGAGUCUGCUUCCAAGCACUUCGACCCAGCAGAUCUGGAGGUGAACGUGGCUGGUAGAUCCUUUCUGAUCACUGGGUCCAACAGCGGCAUUGGCAAGGCUGCAGCCAAGGAGAUAGCACGGAGAGGUGGCACAGUUCACCUGGUUUGCCGCAACAAGGAACGAGCUGAGGAUGCCAAAGGAGAAAUAGUGACAGAAACUGACAAUCAGAAUAUCUUCUUGCAUAUUGUGGAUAUUUCUAACCCCAAAGAAAUCUGGAUGUUUGCUGAAAAGUUCAAAAAUGAACAUAAAUUGAAUGUGUUGAUUAACAAUGCAGGGUGUAUGGUGAACAACAGAGAAUUAACUGAAGAUGGACUUGAGAAAAACUUUGCAACAAACACCUUGGGGAUUCCUUAUUUUCUGACUUUUGUAACGCUGAGGAUUUACAAGACAGUUCUGAUGGAACACCUCUCCUACGAGGACAGGCUGAGAGAGCUGGGGCUGUUCAGCCUGGCGAAGAAAAGGCUGCGAGGAGACCUGAGAGCGGCCUGUACGUACGUUCUGACAACUGCCCUGCUGCCCCUUCUGGAAAAAGAAGCUGACGCCAGAGUGGUAACUGUCUCUUCUGGGGGCAUGCUAGUCCAAAAAUUAAAUAUAUCUGACUUGCAGUCAGGAAGUGGGACGUUUGAUGGAGCUAUGGUGUAUGCUCAAAACAAGAGACAGCAAGUUGUCUUGACAGAACAAUGGGCAAAAACUCACAGAAGCAUCCAUUUCUCUGUCAUGCACCCCGGCUGGGCAGACACUCCAGCUGUGAGGUCGUCGAUGCCAGGCUUCUAUCAGAAGAUGAAGAACAGCCUGCGCACAGAGGCCCAGGGAGCUGAUACUGUGGUGUGGCUGGCAGUGUCAUCUGAGGCAGCAAAGUUACCGAGCGGCCUCUUCUUCCAAGACAGGCAACCAGUCCCUACACACCUACCCUUAGCAAGAACCCACAGCCCACCAGGGGAUGAGGAGAAGCUAAUGGAGGUGCUGGAAGAAUUAUCCCAGAAGUUUAAAUCCAGUUCUUCAGUAUCACCUCAGUGCCACUGAAGAUCAAGGAGCAGAUCCUCCUGGAAGCUGUGCUAAGGUGCAUGGAAGAGAAGGAGGUGAUAUGAUAGGGGAUAACCAGCAUGACUUUGCCAAAGGCAGAUCCUGCCCGACCUUUGCUUUUUAUAAUGGCAUAACUGCAUCAGUAGACAAGGGAAGAGCCACUGAUGUCAUCUAUCCGGACUUCAGUAAGGCCACAGUCCCCCAUUACAGCUUUCUCUCCAAAUUGGAAAGAGACACAGUCCCCCAUAACAUUCUUCUCUCCAAACUGGAAAGAUAUGGAUUUUAUGGGUGGACAGUUCAGUGGACAAGGAAGUGGGAUCGUACCCAGAGAGUGGUGAUCAAUGGCUCAGUGUCCAGAUGGAGAUCAGUGACAAGUGGUGUCCCUCAGGGGUCAGUACUGGGACCAAUACUCUUUAACAUCUUCAUCAAUCAACAGUGGGAACGAGUGUACCCUCAGCAAGUUUGCAGAUGAUGCCAAGCAGCGUGGUGCAGUUGACAUGCCUGAGGAAUGAGAUGCCAUUCGGAGAGACCUGGACAGGCUCAAGCAGUGGGCUCAGGAGAACCUCAUGAGGUUCAACAAAGCCAAGUGCAAGGUCUUGCACCUGGGGGUACUGGUGGAUGGCAAGCUGGACAUGAGCCAGUGAUGUGCUGUUGCAGCCCAGAAAAUCAAGUGUAUCCUGCGCUGCAUCAAAAGAAGCAUGGCCAGCAGUCAUGGAAGCAAACGUUUCAGAGAUGGCCAAAGAGAAGUCACAAUGGAAAAUUCCUACAGACUGAAUUCCUGCCAAAUUUCAUAUGAGAUUUUGAAGAGGAGAUCCUGUUCUUCUCACAAAAGGUCACUGCUAAAGGGACUCAGCAUAUUAAUUCAUCUGGAAAGGGGUUCAGGUUUGUUCUUACUGCUGUGUACUAUGAUCACAUAAGGAAAAAGAGUUUUAGACACUGACUGAAAACAUCAUAUUUGCUCAGCGGGGCGCCCUGGAAAGGACAGGGACCUGCAAAGCCACUCACUGCAGAACUACCUCCUAUGGACCACAGAACAGAAUUUCAGUUGUUUUUACACAAAUUCUUUUGUGAAUAGCAAAGACAGACACAUACUACAUUUUUUAACUUCUUCGUAGCCCCAGUAUUUUAUUGUUAAAUAUACUUUAAAAUAUAUAUUAUUUUUUAUUUUUCUAAGCCACGUAGUAGGUGAAGAUGUUAAGUGGAUUUUUGAUUACAGAAGCACAGCACGGCUGAGUCUAGAAGGGCCCUCCGGGUCCCUCUGCUCCAGCCCCUGCCCCAGCAGGGACACCCAGAGCAGGGUGCCCAGGGCCACAUCCAGGCGGCUCUGGGAGAUCCCCAAGGAGGAGACCCCACAGCCUCUGGGCAGCCUGUGCCAGUGCUCCGUCACUGCACGGCACAGCAGUGCUCCUGGUGUUCAGAGGGAACCUCCUGUGCUCCAGUUUGUGCCCACAGCCUCUGGUCCUGGCACCGGGCACUGCUGACAAGAGUCUGGCUCCAGCCUGUGGCACCCUCCCUCAGGGAUUUAUGGACACUGAUGAGAUCCCCCUGCGCCUCCUCUUCUCCAGCUGAGCAGUCCCAGCUCUCUCAGCCCCUCCUCACAGGAGAGAUGCUCCAGGCCCUUCAUCAUCCUUAUGCCCCUUUGCUGGACUCCCCAGUACAUCCACGUCUCUCUUUUACUGGGGCCAUGCACUGGACACAGCUGGGGGGAAAGUUGCUUAUUCCUCUUCAAAAUCUCUAACCCUGGUGUUAGUCUCCUGCACCAGAGGGACCAUCGGUACUAUACCUUGCACUGCCCACCUACUUUUCAUAGAAUCACAGAACCACAGAAUGGUUUGAGUUGGAAGGGACU